UAACUAUUAAGAUAAAUUGUGACUUAUUAAUUAGAUAUAUAUUAUUUAUACUUUAUCGGAAAAAUUUCUUCAAAUGAAGAAUUCUCACUAAGUGAAGAUAGUUAUGCUAGUGAAUUAACAUGUGUUAUUCGAUAUUAUACCAAGAUAUUGUUGAAACUUCUUUCGUUGUUUGAAGAAUGCAUUCAUAAAGCACUGAUGCAAAUAUUAUACAAAGGUCUCAUUCAUAUUGGAGAGAAGCUUGGCACAGGAAAAAAUAAGUACGAUGUAGGGAGACACUAAUGAAACACCUAUUUUGGGCAUGUGAAAAUGAUAUUUAUCGAAUCAACAGAAGAAGACCAGCCAAAAGAUCCGACAAUAUUUUCGAUGAGGACGUGAGAUAUCCUUGGAUUCCAGAAAAAAAGGCAAAAAUCUUUUUGCGUUCCCGACGAGGCAUGAACAGAAGAACAGGCUCUAUAACUUCAGAAUGUUGCAAAUCUUCAGGGUGUACUUGGGAAGAAUAUGCGGAAUAUUGUCCCACUAAUAAACGUUAUACAUCUUAUGUUUAAGUCAACAUUCACUGAUUACUUUGUCCACUAUGGGAAGUAUUCGAAUUACAACCAAAAUGUUGAGACUAUUUGUGUUUUACUCAAUGAAAAUUGUUCAUUUUUAAUAAGGAUAUUUAUUAUGUACAUAUUAUUGUUUUGAUCUGUUUCUCCAUCAUAUUUUAUAUCGAUACUCUACUCUUUCAACGUUAAUUUUAACGCAAAUACGUAAUAUUAAAGACUGGUGCUUUAUGGAAUGUUAUAAUAAAUAGAGUAUAUCGAAUACUUUCCAUUUCCUUGGUGAAAUCAAAUAUUCAUAUGAAAUACUGGAUGAUCUGUUAUUGCAGUAAAUAGUAAACUUAGCAUUGAAACAAUUUUUUGUGUAAUAUGACAUCAACAUAGUCAAUAAUUGUAAAUAUUUCAGCCUGAUAAAAGAUAUAAAAUUAUCGUUCGACAUUGAGAGAAAUAUUUUAUUAAAAAUAUCAAGAAAGCUAAAUAAAAGAUCAUUAUUGUCCUUCGCCAAUAGAUCUAUAUUACCUAGCUGUUUUUCAGCCUUAUAGUUUUGGAAACAGGUUGAUCUGGCAUAUUUUGAAAAAUAUCAAUUGGAAAUUCAUAGUAAUCAUUUCUGGGAGAAGGAAUAGUAAAAAUUAAAUAAAAUCAAGUAUAAAAUUUUA